rnacentral:lncRNA from 1 species
UGAGUAAUGAUACCGACGAUGGUGGCAAGGAAAAUGGAGAGAAGCUGCCACGCGUUUUUGGUGACUCCUGCUGGAGUAGGGACGAACCAGAGGAUAACUCCCGUCGCGAUCGACGCGAUUAGAGGCUUCAUAGCUGCGCCCUGCCAUGGUUCCUUGGCGGGAGUGAUGGAGGACCCACCGGUGGCUACAGUGGCUUUGACGGAGAAGCCACGGCGGGAGUGAGUGAAGUCCCGGGUUAAAUUGGGGAGUUUGGGGGAGGAAAUGAGGGGGGAGAGGGUUUUGUUGAAACCGAAGGCGGCGGUUUUGAGGGAGUUUCGGCG